UUUCUUAUAGAUGAUAAUUGUUGUUAUUUUAAUAUAUUAGAUUAGUAUAAUGAGUGAUAGUUAGGGGAUUUCUAUAGUUUAUUUAGUACUGUUAUGGAAUUAUUUAUUUUUUUUUAAAUUUAGGUUGUUUUAAUACCUUUUGUAUUAGGGUUCUUUUAUGUUAAUUUAUAUUAAUAGUUUCUCGAUAAGUAUCGGGCUAUUUUAUUAGUUUUUGAACUCGUUGUAUAGAGUCUUUUAUAAUAAGAUAGUUAUGAAAUAUUAUUCAAGUUAUUUUGUAUCUAGUUCUUUUAGAGGUAUAAUGGAGUGUAUGUUUAUAUUGAAGUCAUGCAGGGAUUAGCUUGUGUGUUAUUUAUAUGAUAUUAAUCUUAAUUUUUAUUUGUGAUGUUAAAAGUUCUUAUUUUUAUGGUGUUAUUACUAAAUAAGUUAUGUUUAUUAUUUUUUUUACCUAUAUUAUAAUAAAGGGGUAUUAUGUUAAUUUGGGUUGUUAUGAUAUAAUGAUGAUAUUAGUAAUUUUAUUAUUUAGUUUUAUUGAUUUAAAUUUUUUUUGGGUUAGUUGUAUAUAAAUUAUUGGUGAAGAAUUCGGCAAAAGUUGACUUUUGACUGUUUAGCAAAAACAUUGUUUUUUGUAAAGAUAGAAAAUAAUUUCUGCCCACUGCUGUUAUGGUAAAGGGCUGCAGUAUUUUGACUGUAUGAAAGUAGCAUAAUCAUUAGCUCUUUAAUUGGGAGCUGGUAUGAAGGGUAAACAGGAGUUUGCUGUUUUAUUAUUAUUUAAUGAAUUUUAUUUUUAUGUGAAAAAUCAUAAGUAGAGUAAUGGGACAAGAAGACCCUAGUAAGUUUUAUUUUUGUUUUUAAUGCGUAUAUAGGUAUUAUUAGUGCAAUUUACAAUCAAGAGUUUGGCUGGGGCGGCAUAUUAUUAAACGUGAUUUAUUAUUUAACUUUUUUGUUGGCGUUUUAUUGACCUAAUAGGUUUAGUUAAGUGAAAAAUUACUGUAGGGAUAACCGGCGUAAUUUUUUUUAAGAGUUCUUAUUAACAGAAAAGUUUGCGACCUCGAUG
rnacentral:rRNA from 1 species